rnacentral:lncRNA from 1 species
UGGAGUACAGAUAAGAAAGGAGAAAAAGAAAAAAAAGAUUAAGCAUUUGCUGAAGAAGUAAUUGUGUGGAAAUUAGCGAUGGAGACAUAUCUAGUGAAUUUAUGAGGGCAGUCUUCCCAUUAUUUCUCCCACCAGUGACUGAAAUGAAUAGACGGCAAAGAUCUGAAAUUCAGAAGAAAGAUAGAGGGCCAUUAGGGAUAAAUACAUCUCCCCAUUUUUCUGUCAUCCUUAUUGAGAAUUCCGGUACUUGUGACAAACUUCUACGAAAGGUAAUUUUGUUGAUAGAACCCAGGUGCUGGACAUAUUACAGCCAAAAAAGUUCCACAUGACAGGCUGUGUAAAUCUAUCAUGGCAUUGACAUCGUAAUUUGCAACAGGCAGGUCACACCAAAUGGCAAGCAAAAAAAUUACAUACCUGAGACUAGGAACUUUUUACUGUUCCCCGUGAAGAUCUGUGGUUAUAGUCCUUCCUAAUUGUCCACAAAAUGUGUGUGGGUAUGGUGUUCCGCAGGUUCAUUUGCAAGAAUAAUAUCCAUAAGGGGUGGUCUUGAACUUUUGGCCCCUCUAACAAAACUGUAUAAAAAAGGACCCCCUGCUUAAGAAAAUCCACAGAACUUUGGUUACCCAUUAGACAUAAGUUGUAGGCAUAAAUAGUUUUGCCUAUGAAGGUAGGAGUUGAGACUUUUCAAUUAGUCAGAGACUAUGAACCUACACAAUUGAUCACAAGUUCAACCUAUAAGAAAAAGUUGCAUGUGUUUCUCAAUUGUUCACAAGUUACAUCGGACAAGCAACAGUUGGUACUAUGCAUUUUACCCAUUGAGUUAAAUUAGACACAAUCGUGAUAUAUUUACAAAUAUUGUCUGUAUUGUUCAAUUGCUCACAAUUUUUUCC